ensembl:lncRNA
GUACUGAUAUGGCUUUAUAAGACAGUUAUAAGUUAUACUGAUAUGGCUUUAUAAGACAGUUAUAAGUUAUACUGAUAAGGCUUUAUAAGAGAGUUAUAAGGUAUACGGAUAUGGCUUUAUAAGAGAUUUAUAAGUUAUACUGAUAUGGAUUUAUAAGACAGUUAUAAGUUAUACUGAUAUGGCUUCAUAAGACAGUUAUAAGUUAUACUGAUAUGGCUUUAUAAGACAGUUAUAAGUUAUACUGAUAUGGCUUUGUAAGACAGUUUGUGUAAAGUUACGUGAAAUUCCUCUUUUCUGGUGUUUUGUAGGUGUUUUGUUCUCCAGGGUCUCUGGAGCAGAAGUGGAGAUGAGGGUCAGGCCAGGAGACAAUGUCACUCUCUACUGCGACUGUGUUUGGAAGUUAGGAUUUAAUCCAGUUUGGUUUAGAAACUCCUCAUGUCAGCAUGAAGCUCCUCUCGUGAUAUCUUUUCUCACGCAUGGUGAUCCUCAACAUUACACAUUUGUGUGGAAUCCCUCCGAACAAACUCAUGAUCUGCUGGUGAAGAACGUCUCUGAGUCAGAUCUGGGUCUGUACUACUGCGCUGUACAGGAGAAGAAGGUCACCAAAGAUGAAGCUGGAGUUAUACGCGAACAGGAUGUUUAUCAUUAUGGAAACAGAACCACUCGCCUCUCCCUCCUUGUCCCUUGUACCGCCGACAUUCCUCAGACCACCUCCACCCCUCCUUCAUCAGACUGUAGCGUCUGCUGGAAGCUGCUGGUCAGCAUGUGUCCUGUGUUUGUUCUCCUCUCCUCCACCUGUGUGUGCUGCAUCUGCAGAAACAGAUUCAAAGCAGCUGGUCAGGAACGGAGGAACAAAACGCCGAGUCGGAAGAGCAGAAAAACUGAAGAGGUUGAAGCAGAUGAGGUCUGCUAUGCCUCAUUGGACAUCCUGAGCAGAGGACAGAAGCGCCUGAUGAAGAAGAGAGUGGAGAGCUCAGAUUUCAGUACAUAUUCUGAGGUUAAAACUGAGAAAAUGUAA